rnacentral:lncRNA from 1 species
GACUGAGGGGGUUCUGUACUAUGGAAAACUGAUCUUGAAGACUGAGAUGCCUAUGAAAUGAGAAAGACUAAAUAGAUAACAUCCAUGGAGAAAUAGGAGGAUGGGAAACACACUCGCUUCAGCCUGCACCAACCAAAAUGACUGCUCAAAGGCCAUUCAGCCCCUUUAUCACUGUGGCUCAACUUUGAUUUUCUUCCCAGUUCAUCCAUGAUUCAGACUUCUUCUGUUUCAGGAGCUUUGCCCAUGCGUUCUGCCACCUUCUGCCAGGAAUUACACCUGUCCCAUCCCGUCGUCUCCUGAAUGUCCAGGCUCUUGCAUCUAUGAAGUAAGCCUUCCUUUUUAAUCAUGAUGGGCACGUGCACUAAGAGAAACAUGGACCUGUUUUUAACCCUUGAUGUUGAGAACACAGAGAAAAGAGACAGGGGUCUCCCCGUGUUGUCCAGAACGGUCUUGAACUCCUGGUCUUCAAGCAAUCUUCCUGCCUUGGUCUCUCAAAGUGCUGGGAUUACAAGUGUGAGCCACCAUACCCGGUCAUAGCGCUCUUAUAAAAUGCAUCAUCACAUUUAUUUUAUAAAUUCAGAAACAAAAGUCUGUAUAGAGAAGUUUUGAAGUUACUAGGGACCUGAAAAUCAUACUGAAGAUGUCUGCAACUAAAAACUCGAAGAGUUCCGAGGCUAGAGGGGUCAGGAGAUGAAUAAAAACGUUAGCCCCAGCUGAUCACAAUGAGGUUAAUCACAAUACUAAUUAAAAAUACUACAGAUCCUAGGACAAUGGUCAGAAGAGUGACUAUACUUUCCUGUUUGCCCUUGGAAAAUCGAGGGCUGACUUUUCUACGUGCUCAGAUAACCUAAAUUGAUAGAGAGAAAGCUAGCAGAGGAUAAGAUAAACUAGUUAACUGUAAAUAAGAUUUUGCUGUUGGAGAAUCUUCUUGUUGCUCUGGUUUUAGAUAGCGGAGGAAGCCAAAAAAUAUCUGCUUUAAGUUACCAGGAGUUGAAGUUCAUCCCUGCUGAAGUUAACAGGUUGCUUCCCUUUUUCUGGUGUAUUCUUACUUUACUGGCAAAGAGAAAAUAAAUUAAUACCUUAUUGUUAAAA